AACGCUAGCGACAGGCCUAACACAUGCAAGUCGAGGGGUAACAGCAGAGCUUGCUCUGGCUGACGACCGGCGCACGGGUGCGUAACGCGUAUGCAACCUACCCUAUACAGGAGAAUAGCCUUUAGAAAUGAAGAUUAAUGCUCCAUGGUACUGAUUAUUCGCAUGAAUAGACAGUUAAAGUUCCGACGGUAUAAGAUGGGCAUGCGUAUGAUUAGUUAGUUGGUAAGGUAACGGCUUACCAAGGCUACGAUCAUUAGGGGUUCUGAGAGGAUAAUCCCCCACACUGGUACUGAGACACGGACCAGACUCCUACGGGAGGCAGCAGUGAGGAAUAUUGGUCAAUGGACGCAAGUCUGAACCAGCCAUGUCGCGUGCAGGAAGACUGCCCUAUGGGUUGUAAACUGCUUUUAUAUAGGAAGAAUCACAGUUACGUGUAAUUGUUUGACGGUACUAUAUGAAUAAGGAUCGGCUAACU
rnacentral:rRNA from 1 species